rnacentral:rRNA from 1 species
AAUAGAUACCCGGGUAGUCCUUGCCUUAAACUAUGUAUACUUGGUGUAAUUAGGCUCAACCCUGAUUGUACCGUAGCGAACGCGAUAAGUAUACCGCCUGGGGAGUACGCUCGCAAGGGUAAAACUCAAAAGAAUUGACGGGGACCCGCACAAGCAGUGGAGCAUGUGGUUUAAUUCGAUGCAACGCGAAGAACCUUACCUGGACUUGACAUGCUUUUGACCGCUGUAGAAAUAUAGUUUUCUCGCAAGAGACAGAAGCACAGGUGCUGCAUGGCUGUCGUCAGCUCGUGCCGUGAGGUGUUGGGUUAAGUCCCGCAACGAGCGCAACCCUUGUCGUUAGUUGCCAACACGUAAUGGUGGGCACUCUAGCGAGACUGCCUAGGUUAACUAGGAGGAAGGUGAGGAUGACGUCAAGUCCGCAUGGCCUUUAUGUCCAGGGCUACACACGUGCUACAAUGGUCGGUACAAAGGGAAGCGAAGUCGUGAGAUGGGGCAAAUCCUCAAAGCCGGCCUCAGUUCGGA